rnacentral:rRNA from 1 species
GACGAACGCUGGCGGCGUGCCUAACACAUGCAAGUCGAGCGGAAGGGCGCGGCUUUUGUGUGGUUGUUGAGUGGCGAGGGGGUGUGAGACACGUGAGUAAACCGCCCUUGACUGUGUGAUAACUUCAGGAGAAUGGGGCUAAUACAGGAUAGGAGCUCCUGCACCAUGGGGGGGGUUGGAAAGAGUCGGCGGUUGGGUCUAGACUCGCGGCUUAUGAGCUGGUUGGUGGGGUAGUGGCUUACCAGGGUUUUGACGGGUAGCCGGCCUGGGAGGGUGACCGGCGACAUUGGGCCUGAGGUACGGCCCAGACUGCUACGGGAGGCAACAGUGGGGAAUAUUGCACAAUGGGCGGACGCGUGAUGCAGCAGCGCCGCGUGCGGGAUACCGGCCUUCGGGUUGUAAACCGAUUUCGACUGUGACGAAGCGUGAGUGACGGUAACGAGUAAAGAAGCACCGGCUAACUACGUG